UCUCAGACCACCCUUUACUGUGUCCUCGGGGUCCAGUUUUCCCAGGAAUCCCUUAGAUGAUAAGAGGGGGAUUCCUGGAAAUACUGUUCUUGGGGUCAUGGCUCAGCAACUGGUGAUGGU
rnacentral:pre_miRNA from 11 species